rnacentral:rRNA from 1 species
GGUGAACGCGGGCGGCGUGCUUAACACAUGCAAGUCGAACGAUGACUCCCAGCUUGCUGGGGUGAUUAGUGGCGAACGGGUGAGUAACACGUGAGUAACCUGCCCUUAACUCUGGGAUAAGCCUGGGAAACUGGGUCUAAUACCGGAUAUGACUCCUCAUCGCAUGGUGGGGGGUGGAAAGCUUUUGUGGUUUUGGAUGGACUCGCGGCCUAUCAGCUUGUUGGUGAGGUAAUGGCUCACCAAGGCGACGACGGGUAGCCGGCCUGAGAGGGUGACCGGCCACACUGGGACUGAGACACGGCCCAGACUCCUACGGGAGGCAGCAGUGGGGAAUAUUGCACAAUGGGCGCAAGCCUGAUGCAGCGACGCCGCGUGAGGGAUGACGGCCUUCGGGUUGUAAACCUCUUUCAGUAGGGAAGAAGCGAAAGUGACGGUACCUGCAGAAGAAGCGCCGGCUAACUACGUGCCAGCAGCCGCGGUAAUACGUAGGGCGCAAGCGUUAUCCGGAAUUAUUGGGCGUAAAGAGCUCGUAGGCGGUUUGUCGCGUCUGCCGUGAAAGUCCGGGGCUCAACUCCGGAUCUGCGGUGGGUACGGGCAGACUAGAGUGAUGUAGGGGAGACUGGAAUUCCUGGUGUAGCGGUGAAAUGCGCAGAUAUCAGGAGGAACACCGAUGGCGAAGGCAGGUCUCUGGGCAUUAACUGACGCUGAGGAGCGAAAGCAUGGGGAGCGAACAGGAUUAGAUACCCUGGUAGUCCAUGCCGUAAACGUUGGGCACUAGGUGUGGGGGACAUUCCACGUUUUCCGCGCCGUAGCUAACGCAUUAAGUGCCCCGCCUGGGGAGUACGGCCGCAAGGUAAACGAAAAUUUGUUUUGGGGGGAGGAGAAA